CCUACGGGGUGCAGCAGUGGGGAAUAUUGGGCAAUGGGCGCAAGCCUGACCCAGCAACGCCGCGUGAAGGAAGAAGGCUUUCGGGUUGUAAACUUCUUUUGUCAGGGAAGAGUAGAAGACGGUACCUGACGAAUACGCCACGGCUAACUACGUGCCAGCAGCCGCGGUAAUACGUAGGUGGCAAGCGUUGUCCGGAUUUACUGGGUGUAAAGGGCGUGUAGCCGGGUUGACAAGUCAGAUGUGAAAUCCUGCGGCUUAACCGCAGAACUGCAUUUGAAACUGUUGAUCUUGAGUACUGGAGAGGCAGAGGGAAUUCCUAGUGUAGCGGUGAAAUGCGUAGAUAUUAGGAGGAACACCAGUGGCGAAGGCGGUCUGCUGGACAGCAACUGACGGUGAGGCGCGAAAGCGUGGGGAGCAAACAGGAUUAGAUACCCGAGUAGUC
rnacentral:rRNA from 1 species